AAGAGACGUUGCCCUUCGGGGUAUACCUCCCACCCUUUGUUUAUUAUACCUUUGUUGCUUUGGCGGGCCCGUCCUCGGACCACCGGCUCCGGCUGGUCAGCGCCCGCCAGAGGACCCAAAACUCUGUUUGUUAAUAUCGUCUGAGUACUAUAUAAUAGUUAAAACUUUCAACAACGGAUCUCUUGGUUCUGGCAUCGAUGAAGAACGCAGCGAAAUGCGAUAAGUAAUGUGAAUUGCAGAAUUCAGUGAAUCAUCGAAUCUUUGAACGCACAUUGCGCCCCCUGGUAUUCCGGGGGGCAUGCCUGUUCGAGCGUCAUUACAACCCUCAAGCUCUGCUUGGUAUUGGGCUCUGCCGGUCCCGGCAGGCCUUAAAAUCAGUGGCGGUGCCAUUCGGCUUCAAGCGUAGUAAUUCUUCUCGCUUCGGAGACCCGGGUGCGUGCUUGCCAGCAACCCCCAAUUUUUUCAG
rnacentral:misc_RNA from 1 species